GGUCCCGAGGUGAGAGGUGUCAAAGCCCGAAGUGUUAGCGGAGCGAGGUCGCGAGGGGAGUCCUUCUCCCCGCCUGUACGGGAGAGUCGUUCGCCGAAAGCGGGCAGGAGGGGAGCGUGUGUGGCUGCCAGACGGCGGCCAGCGAAAGAAGAGACGGAGUUUCCUGCCCGAGCGGCCGUGCGGCGCGGGAGAAGGGCCGGCGUCGGAGAAAACUGUUGGGGCCCGAACGUGCGGAGCCUCGGCUUAGUGGUCUCGCGGAUUCUAAAUUUUGUGGAUACGGAGCUGUUGCUUGAAUAGUUUCAUGGGCAUACUUCACCUUUAGGAAAUUCAGGAACAUGGUGCACAGAAGGGUCCCUAAAUCCAUCUUUGGAAGUGUUGGAAGAAAUAAAUGAGCACCAGAAACGAAGUUUUCCCUGGGGAAAUUAAACUGAAGAAGGGAACCUGGAGAGCUCCUACACAUGUUGGUACUAGGAAUCAUUAUGACUUUUUGAAGGACAAGAGCCACAGAGGUGCAAUGACACCUCUCUUGAAGGCAAGCUAAGUGGAGUCUGAGUCAUAAACUUGAGCUCAAUAAGGAAAACCACCAUCAUCUCGACCUUGAAGAGCUUUGACUCUAUCUGCCCUCUGCCGGACACCCAAGACACACACCAGUUCUGGGCAACAUGCUUUCAAUUACACCUACAUCAACCAAGUGUACAUUUAUUCCUAUAUCUCUUUUGAAACUACAAAUCUGCACUUCUAACUCACAACUCCUGAUUCACAAGUCAAUGCCUCAUCCACGUCUCAGAGUCACACAUGCUAAAACUCAACAUACCAGUGAGUUCCAUGUCACCAUCACACAGCACCACUCACUGUACCUCAACACUCUCGGAUCAGACCCGGGGAACAGCCUCUCCCAAAAAGUAGUAGUGCACUGUCUUGGUUUCAGUUGAUCACUAAAACAACGUGUCCAUGUUGUUCCUAGCCCUGCCUAGUACAUUUACCUUCACCACCAACCAUUCUUUUGCCCAAACCAGAUCUUGCUAUUCUUUUUGGAUAAAUUUUCUUAUCCUCCCAACACAGAAACUUGUUUCCAGUAUAAAUAAUAAACAGUGCUUAAGUUUAUUGGACUUUCUACAGAUUUAUUGCCAUUUCAUUACUAAACUCUUCCAUCUAUCACCCCUUACCUCCAUUAAUAUAAGUAGAUAAAAAACUGGUCUUCUUACAGCUAGUCUAGUCUGCUUCAAUCCAUUUGCCGCAUUGCAUUCUAACUGAUCAUUCCAUGGUGUAAGCUGGACAUCCUUAUAGCCUAAAUCAACAUCAACCACCACAGUAGCUGACCAACAGCAAUCUUCCCUUCCUUGGUCAUUGGAGCCCUGGAGACCAUAGGAAGUUUUGGGAAAGAACUGCAGUGGUAACGCCUAGAGCUAGCGGGUUUGGGACUUGUGUUGGCUUUGAGACAUAUGUACGUAUUGGAGAAGCACAAGUCUCUGACAGGGAUUGGUGAUAAGGAAGCAAGAAUAAAAUGAGUCACUGUGCUGGUAAACCUGACUUUCUAACUUUUCAAUUUCACCAAGUCAGUUUCCUGACAGCUGGGAUGAAGGCCACCAAAAUGUCCCUGUAGGGAGUUCCCUGGAGAAAAUAUUCUGAAAUUUGGUCUUAUGGAAUUCUUCGUAGUCAAGCUUCAGAGGUGUCCUAGGAGCACAGAGGUCUUCACACAGGGAUAAUUUUGGAUUCUUCAGCUGAGAAUUUGUACCCUUUAGAAGGAGGAGGUCCCACCUGAGGUUCUCAUCCAUCCCAGAUCAGGCUCCAGAGUGAGCUGCUUAGUGUAGCUGGAAUCUGUGUGGUCAUUGAGUCCAUGUAUGGACAGGUAGCUCCAUUUCUGUGAAGCCCAGUAGACGAAGUCUUAGGGCCUGCUGUGGGUUGUGAGAGAAGCAACCUCAUGAAGUCUUUGGAUAUGUUACAAGAUGAAGGACACCUUAACCUAAGAAUACUGGUGCUUCAAUAGCGAGUAUCUCACCUCCCACCUGACUGUCCCAGCUUGCAGGCCCAUACAUUAACUGUUUUUCUUCUUUUUUCUCCACCACGGUAACUUCAUUUACUACCUCUUCUUGAAUCUUUUUUACAAGGGCAAGUCUGGUCUAUGCAAAGAUCCAACAGCCAGGGGCAACACUGCAGUCAGUUGAGGAGAGGGAGAGAAAGAAUGAAACGGGCAGUGUUUGGAAAGUAAAAAUGAUUGAAGAGUGUGUCUGUACAGUGACUUGCAGCCUUGGGACUGGGACAGGGCUAUGAUCAUGGAAGGAUUAGUGCUGGGCAGGAGGUGCACAACUGUUCCUCUGAGGUGCAGAGUAAGUUCUGGUAUGUUGCUGGGGACCUGUAACAUUUGGAACUAAUAUUCUUGCCACACUCAUGUGCAUACCUUCUGAUAUCAUGACAUCACCUACUAGCAGAUAAGUAUCCUAGAAUAUGAAGAAUAACUUCAGUGUGUGUUUCUCUCUUUGGGAAUUCCUUUUGGAAAAAGGCCAGAUUUCCCUUCUUUGUCGUGCCUAUAUUCUUCUGAUUUUCUGUUGUCAUGAUACAUGUAAAUAUAUCCUUAGAAGGAAACUUGAGGAGCAUAAAGAAUGUCUCAUCCUCUGCUUUAGGUUGUCAUUCCAUUAACUUUUCUCGAACCUCCUAUAUGUUGUGUUGGACCAGAAAGUUGACAAAUUUGGCCAAUAGAAAAUUUCUCUCUAUAGGUCACUGUACAGGUCGUUAUAUCAUGAAUGGUCAAAAUCAUACAUUAAAUUAACUUCAGGAACCUAGUAUCUGAGAAGUCAGUUGUUCCUUUUGAAUGCUAAUUAUUUACCUUUUCUAUCAGAAAAAGCCUAUCAGACAGCUACAGGUACUUUACAAAUAGAGGAGUAUUCGGACUUUCUGACUUAGGUGGCAUAGCAAAUGCACAAUAAAAACUGUUCAGAACGAGAGAGAAAUCGAAGUAUGGAAUAAGUGCUAGGAAGUUCUAAAGCCAAUCAAAAGCUGAUCAACUUUAAUUGCCGACCACUCAGUUAACAGCUGAACUCCCUAACUGAUCACAUGGCUACUUUUCACAAAUGAGACUACAUCAAGUGAUAAUAUGGAUAAUGUGAUAAUUGCCAAAGCAGAAGCAUGUCCACCUUACCUCUACCCUGUCCAAAACGCCAACUCCAGAAGGCUGAAAGUGCAGGAGAGUAUACAACCUCGGCUUCUUAGGAAACACAAUAAUUUAGGAGAUACCCAAACAAGUAGGACAGAGAAAUGGCCAUCACCAGUUUUGGUGUUCUGAAGAGACAAAAUUAAGGGGGGUGAGGGUUGGGGGACAAUGUUGGAAGUUCAGUGGGGGUGGUGGAAGACUGUUCUGGACCAAAUACUUCCCACUGUUGGCCCUGUGAUAAGGAAAGCAGUUAGCAUGAGAGGAGCCACUCGAUGAGCAUUUGAUACACUGUGGGAGACAGAGACAAAAAUUCAGCAGAAAGCUGGGCAACACAGGCACGGGAUUUGAUACCACCAUAUAUCCAUCCCCAUGCCAGGGGCAGUCAUCCUGGAUUCUUUCUCGCAGUCUCCCUUGACACGAGGCAGUUAAUAACCUAGGAUUCAUCUAGGGAAGAGGUUCUUUUUUUUUUUUUUAAGAUUUUAUUUAUUUAUUUGAGAGAGAGAGACAGCCAGCGAGAGAGGCAACACAAGCAGGGGGAGUGGGAGAGGAAGAAGCAGGCUCCCAGCGGAGGAGCCGAAUGUGGGGCUUGAUUCCAGGACCCUGGAAUCACGCCCUUAGCGGAAGGCAGACACGCUUAACGACUGAGCUACGCAGGUGCCCUCUAGGGAAGAGGUUCUGACGUCAAUGCAGGCUGUGGCCAGGGAAUCAUCCUAAAUUAAGAUAUGACCAUAAUCACACACAAAUUUAAAAAUAAGGCAUUUUUAAAGAAUUAUUAGUUAUUAUAGUUGGAGGGUGAAGAAGAAAAUAUCAAAGUUCUUUGUCUAACAAAAUGGCUCUUGGAGAUUAAUUUAUAUAUCAUUACCCUGACAACCAACUAGCAUUAAAGGCAAUUAAAAAUGGAAGGCUAUAUUCCAGUAGAGACAUAUACCGAAGUGAUUCUUUUUGCUUUAAUAAGUCUAUUAAUGUAGCUAUCUUUUGGUUAAUGUUCUCAAUAAUGCUCCUUUUCUCUUCUUUCGUUUUCAGUCUUUCUAUCACUUUAUGGUUUUGGUAUGUCCCUUGAAUACAGCAUAUAGUUAAUUUUUUAAAAUAUUUUUAAAAAUUAUUUAUUUUUUUGAGAGACUGAAUGAGUGAGAGAGAGCAAAGGAGCAGGGGUAGAGGGAGAGGCUGCUGAGCAGGGAGCCGG